GAUGAACGCUGGCGGCGUGCCUAAUACAUGCAAGUCGAGCGGCAACAUGCGCUUCACUUUGCGCGGAACGCAAAGGAAUCUAGAGGUUAGAUGUUAGAUUUUAGAAUAGCUACAGGGAGCAGAAUUCUAGAAUCUAAAAUCUAUAUUCUAGAUUCUAAUACGUAACACGCAGUGUGAAGUGUGAUGGCGAGCGGCGGACGGGUGAGUAACGCGUAGGAAUCUACCCAAGUGAGGGAUAACUGCUCGAAAGAGUAGCUAAUACCGCAUAUGAUCUAAGGAUUAAGACUUCGGUCGCUAUGGGAAGAGCCUGCGUUUGAUUAGCUAGUUGGUAGGUAAUGGCCUACAAGGCGACGAUCAAUAGCUGGUUUGAGAGGAUGAU
rnacentral:rRNA from 1 species